UGGGGAAUAUUGGACAAUGGGCGAAAGCCUGAUCCAGCCAUGCCGCGUGUGUGAAGAAGGUCUUCGGAUUGUAAAGCACUUUAAGUUGGGAGGAAGGGUUGUAGAUUAAUACUCUGCAAUUUUGACGUUACCGACAGAAUAAGCACCGGCUAACUCUGUGCCAGCAGCCGCGGUAAUACAGAGGGUGCAAGCGUUAAUCGGAAUUACUGGGCGUAAAGCGCGCGUAGGUGGUUAGUUAAGUUGGAUGUGAAAUCCCCGGGCUCAACCUGGGAACUGCAUUCAAAACUGACUGACUAGAGUAUGGUAGAGGGUGGUGGAAUUUCCUGUGUAGCGGUGAAAUGCGUAGAUAUAGGAAGGAACACCAGUGGCGAAGGCGACCACCUGGACUGAUACUGACACUGAGGUGCGAAAGCGUGGGGAGCAAAACAGGAUUAGAUACCCUGGUAGUCCACGCCGUAAAACGAUGUCAACUAGCCGUUGGGAGCCUUGAGCUCUUA
rnacentral:rRNA from 1 species